GAGAGAGAGAGAGAGAGAGAGAGAGAGAGAGAGAGAGAGAGGUUUGGAUUUGGGGGAUUGGGUGGAUGGAGGUGGUUUCUAGUUUCUAGAAGGAGACGAGGAAGCGGGGUGGGGGGAAAAAGUAAACGGGGCGGAUAAGAAUCCGAGAACGAGUUAAGGAAAGUGUCGGGAUCGAGUUCGCAAGCGUCAAACCCACGGAAGAGAAGAGCUCUCUCUCUCUCUCUCUCUCUCGCGCUGACGCAGCGGGUGAGCGGACCCGCGUAUUGCGUCGCCCGCAGGUUCGGAAGCAGCCCAAAUUGUUUUGUCCCCGCGACCACGACCUUCCACUUUCAUCGCCCUUGCCACGUCAUCACCAAUUAUUAGUCAAAUUAAAUUAAUAAAUAAAUAAUGUUUUAAGAUUAUAUAUAUAUAUAUAUAUAUAUAUAUAUAUAUAAAUAAAGAGAGAGAGAGAGAGAGAUGAGCUAUAAUACUAUCGAUAGCAAACGGGCUCCGUUGCCACCCAUUUGUUUUUUAUGAUGGAGCCUCCAAAUCGACGAUCGGCACCGUUGAACAUCGAUCAUCCACUUGAAGUGUUUAGAAAUCAAAUUUUAAAUCUUUUCGACAUUAUUUGCCUAAUGAUCAAAGGAUUUCAAAUUUUGUAAUUUUAAUGGUCGAUAUAAGUGUUUUCUCGUUUAACGGCGUAAAAAUAUCCAAAUCAAUUAAAUUUUUGUUCGAAAAUUUUUAAACUAUUUAAAACAAAAUCUAUACUCUUGAUUUUGAUUACAAAACUCUUAGCAUCAUUUUUUGAAGAAUAUUCAUUUUCAACCGUUCAUUUUUGUGUCCACUUGAUGUAUAAGAGAACAAUAUCGAAAUAAUGAAAUUUGAUUUCUAAAUAUUUUCAAGUGGUAUAGAUCAUGUUCAACGUGUUCGAUCGUCGAUUUGGAGGCUCCAUCAUCGAAAACAAAUCGUGGCAACAGAGCCCGUUUGCUAUCGAUAGUAUUCUAGCUUAACUCUCUCUCUCUCUCUCUCUCUCUCUAUAUAUAUAUAUAUAUAUAUAUAUAUAUGAAUUCUCCUGCCUAGACUUUCAAUUUGAGUUUCAAAAAGCGAACUCUUUUAUCACAUGCAUUGUAUUCCAUUCUAUAUCAUGUCAUAGAUGAGCUCUGUCAUCAAGUACACUUGGAAACAUUUAAUGACCAAAUGUGUUCCCUCACUCUGAGUCGCAAUCACCACCAAGCGUACUCAGAUUCCACACGAAUUCUCAACGCCUAACAUUCUGCUUGCUAGUUCCGGCUUUACCACAACCUUCACCAUUCCUACAUGCGGAACCCAUGCCAUCUAUCCAUUGGAUGCUUGUAUGCUAUUCCGAGCCUCCAACUCUGUCACCGCUUUUCUCAAAGCUAGCCCUCUCGCCUCACUCCACGAGUCAAGAUUCCAAUCUCGAUACAAUGCAUAUGGUAAAAGAGUUCGCUUCGCGAAGUUUAAGUUGGAAGUCUAGACAAAUGAAUCUAUGGUGUGUGUAUAUAUAGUGUGGUGCUGGGCUUUUUUUGCAAAUAGCCCCAUAACAAAUUUUAUUUUCGAAAAUAGCCCUGUGUAAAAAUUAUUUGCAAUAAUGGCCCUGGCCCCGCCCCGUCAGCGCCACGUCAGCGCCACGCGGGCGGGGCUGGGCCAAUUGUAUAAGUUGAACACGGUGAACCAUUCACCGUGUUCAAUACAAGAUUUUUGUAUUGGACACAGUGAAUGGUUCACCGUGUCCAAUACAAAUACAUCCGACUUAGCCAAAAAUGGCUAAGUUGUGGGUGUUUGUAUUGGACACGGUGAAUCAUUCACCGUGUCCAAUUAUUUGUAGGACACGGUGAAUGAUUCACCAUGUCCAAUACAAAUAUAUUCCACUUAGCCAUUUUGUAUUGGACACGGUGAACCAUUCACCGUGUCCAAUACAAAAAUUUUGUAUUGAACACGGUGAAUGGUCCACCGUGUUCAAUAUAAAAAUUUUGUAUUGAACACGGUGAAUGGUCCACCGUGUUCAAUAUAAACACUUGGCCCAGCCCCGCCCGCGUGGCGCUGAUGUGGCGUUGACGGGGCGGGGUCAGGGCCAUUUUUGCAAAUAAUUUUUACACAGGGCCAAUUUUAAAAAAAAAUUGUCAGGGGGCUAUUUGCAAAAAAACUCCUGUGGUGCUACUAUGUUAUCAGAAAUAUAGAGAAUUUGAUGCUUUUAACUUUUUCACCCAUGGAUUAAGAAUUGUACCGUUGAGAUUACUGCGGUUCCCUCUAGAGUUGAGUAGUAUCUCUAGGAUUGAAUGGCCCCCAUAGGAUAAUAGUAUUAGUUUAAAAGUUAGAAAUAAUCAAAUGAGCUGAUAUAAGGGCCAAAAAGUUGAAAGCACCAUAUCCUUCGUGCUUUCGAUAUAAAGCUUGAAUUGAGCGAUAUAUAGGCAAUUGUCCUAACAAUAAUAAAUAAUAUUAAACUAGAUUUUGGAAAAAAAAUUGGGAAUAUCCUUUUAACUUGAAUUUAUUUAUAGAGUAUAGUUACAUUUCUGUCACAAUAUUACUUUUAUACAUUAUUUAUAGUAUGGAUUUUUUUUUUUUAUUAGUUUGCAUAUACACUCAGAAAGUACCUUAUAGAUAUUUCAAAGUUGAUUUUUGUUAUAAUUGGACUCUAGUAAUAAUAACCGGUUGCGGAGUAAAAUCACUCCUUUCACAUAGGGGCAUACAAGAAAUCGAAUGACAACUAUUUUUUAAAGAGAAAGAAAGAAAGAUUGCAAUUUUUUUUAUUUAUUUUUAUAAUAAAUAAAUUUAACUAAAAAAAUAAAAUAAUUAAAUUUUGAACUUAAAAUUUCGAAUAUUAUAUCAACCAUUAAACUAUAGUCCUGUGGUAGAUGUCUUAUAGGUAAUAGUAACGGCAAGUUAAUGUGGCCUUAAAUGAGGCUCAAAGAGUAACUAAGUAAUUUAACUUCGAGAGGCUAAUAAUCUAUAUAUAAAGAUAUUGAUAGCAUCAAGCGCUUGGAUAGAAAUGUUAACGGGUCAGGUUUGGGUCGAGUUUUCAAAAAUUCGAAUUCGAAUCCGAAAACUAAAUUAAAAUCCGAAUUCGGACCCAAACCUGGCGGAUUUUAAAAAUCCAUACAUAUAUCCGAACCUGACCAAAAAUCCGAAAUCCGAAUCCGAAUCCGAAAUAAUGAUUCUCUUUAUCAUAUUUCAAAAUAUAUUAUAGUAAAAUCAAAAAUUUCAAAAUAAAAUUUUCAAAACACAAUUAAAUACAAUAUUAAAAUAUUCAUGUCAUACAAUAUCAUUAUUUGGAUAAGAACAUCACAAAUUCAAAUAGUUAAAGACGACACUACAUUUUUUAAAUAUCUAAUGCAAUCUCUAGAUAUCAAAAUGUUAUAUAAUUUAUUUGGGUUUGAGUUGGAUUCGGGUUGGGUAAAUACAAAAUCUAUAUCCGUAUUCAUAUUCGUUGGAUUUUUAUUUUCGAUACCCAUAACCGAAUCCAUAUCCGUUUAGCUCAAGUAAGCCCGCCUCGUUCGGGUUUGGGUUUGGAUAAUAUUUUGGGUAUCAAUACCCAUUGACAUCCCUAUGUUUGGUGCUAUUGAGUUUUCCGCCGUUAGAUCUAUCGCUUUUAUUAUUUUCAUCUAUUAAAUCAUAAUUAUUCAACCAACCACUCACUUAAACUUAUGGACUAUUACCUUUCUAACUGUAUAUCUCUUCAUCUAAGAACUGAAAAUCUAAUAUCACAAGCACUUAGUACUAUUAAUAGUAUAAUAGCCUACUUAUAUGUAUAUAAAGUGCAGUUAAUUUUUCGCCGUUAGAUUUAUACCUUUGACCAUUCUAUUCGUUAGAUCAUACUAUUCAACCAACCACCCAUCCAAUCCUAGGAAACCACUAUAAUCCUAACAACACAUCUCUUCAUCUAAGAGUCGAAAAUCUAAUAUACUUAUUAGUGGCUUGGUGGUAUUAAUAGUAUUCUAGCCUAGUUUUACUUAUAUGUAUAUAUAUAAGUGAAAAGAUCAUUGCCCUUUGGGAUCAUGGUGGGCCCAUUUAUUAGGUUUCGAUGUCCAACUCCUCUCUCUCUAUUUAUAGAAGGACAUUUCAUCUUCCCACUCAAAUAGUUAUGAAAGGCACUUUAUUAUGUCCAUAUAUAUAUAUAUAUAUAUAUAUAUAUAGAGAGAGAGAGAGAGAGAGAGAGAGAGAGAGAGAGAGAGAGAGUUGAGUUAGAAUACUAUCGAUAGCAAACGGGCUUGUUGCCACCCAUUUGUUUUUAAUAAUAGAGCUUGCAAAUCGACGAUCGGCACCGUUGAACAUGAUUUAUACCACUUGAAGUGUUUAGAAAUCAAAUUUCAUAUCUUUUCGACAUUAUUUGCCUAAUGAUCAAAGGGUUUCAAAAUUUGUAAUUUUAAUGGUCGAUAUGAGCCGUUUUCUCGUUUAACGGUGUAAAGAUAUCCAAAUCAAUUAAAUUUUUGUUAGAAAAUUUUUUAAACUAUUUAAAACAAGAUCUAUACUCUUGAUCUUGAUUAUGAGACUCCUAUCAUCAUUUUUUAGAGAAUAUUCAUUUUCAGCCGUUUAUUUUUGUGUCCACUCGAUAGAUAAGAGAAUAAUAUCGAAAAUGUAUGAAAUUUGAUUUAUAAACACUCCAAGUGGUAUAGAUCAUAUUCAACGGUGUCGAUCGUCGAUUUAGAGGUUCCAUCAUCGAAAACAAAUGGGUGGCAAUAGAGCCCGUUUGCUAUCGAUAGUAUUGUAGCUCAACUCUAUAUCUAUAUAU
rnacentral:lncRNA from 1 species